GCCAGGCGCAGCAGGGGAGCCCUCCGCGCCGCGCGCCGCCGCCUCCCCUACCCUGCCGCAGCGCGCCGCAGUCCGGCCUCCCCGCCCCGCGCGGGGAAGGCUGGCUGGCGGCCUCGUCACGUGUCCUCGGCGAUCGCCCAACAGUUCCGGUGGUGAGGAGUCCUUUCCAAAUAUCAGAGGAAUAAAGAAGUCACUUCCCCAGCUGUCAUCAUCUGCCUACACACUGAGCAAGAAUAUUUCAAGCACAACAGAAAAGACAGUCCUUCAAACCCUAGAAGAUGACCAGCCAUCUGAUUUUUUCAAGAAAGGGAAUAGGGUGAUGAAAUCUCACCAGAAAAGCAGGUAAGUGAUUUUAAUUGCUUUAU
ensembl:lncRNA